UGUUUCGGCAAGGGGGUCAUCCCGACUUACCAACCCGAUGCAAACUGCGAAUACCGGAGAAUGUUAUCACGGGAGACACACGGCGGGUGCUAACGUCCGUCGUGAAGAGGGAAACAACCCAGACCGCCAGCUAAGGUCCCAAAGUCAUGGUUAAGUGGGAAACGAUGUGGGAAGGCCCAGACAGCCAGGAUGUUGGCUUAGAAGCAGCCAUCAUUUAAAGAAAGCGUAAUAGCUCACUGGUCGAGUCGGCCUGCGCGGAAGAUGUAACGGGGCUAAACCAUGCACCGAAGCUGCGGCAGCGACGCUGAUGCGUUGUUGGGUAGGGGAGCGUUCUGUAAGCCUGUGAAGGUGUGCUGUGAGGCAUGCUGGAGGUAUCAGAAGUGCGAAUGCUGACAUAAGUAACGAUAAAGCGGGUGAAAAGCCCGCUCGCCGGAAGACCAAGGGUUCCUGUCCAACGUUAAUCGGGGCAGGGUGAGUCGACCCCUAAGGCGAGGCCGAAAGGCGUAGUCGAUGGGAAACAGGUUAAUAUUCCUGUACUUGGUGUUACUGCGAAGGGGGGACGGAGAAGGCUAUGUUGGCCGGGCGACGGUUGUCCCGGUUUAAGCGUGUAGGCUGGUUUUCCAGGCAAAUCCGGAAAAUCAAGGCUGAGGCGUGAUGACGAGGCACUACGGUGCUGAAGCAACAAAUGCCCUGCUUCCAGGAAAAGCCUCUAAGCAUCAGGUAACAUCAAAUCGUACCCCAAACCGACACAGGUGGUCAGGUAGAGAAUACCAAGGCGCUUGAGAGAACUCGGGUGAAGGAACUAGGCAAAAUGGUGCCGUAACUUCGGGAGAAGGCACGCUGAUAUGUAGGUGAAGUCCCUCGCGGAUGGAGCUGAAAUCAGUCGAAGAUACCAGCUGGCUGCAACUGUUUAUUAAAAACACAGCACUGUGCAAACACGAAAGUGGACGUAUACGGUGUGACGCCUGCCCGGUGCCGGAAGGUUAAUUGAUGGGGUCAGCGCAAGCGAAGCUCUUGAUCGAAGCCCCGGUAAACGGCGGCCGUAACUAUAACGGUCCUAAGGUAGCGAAAUUCCUUGUCGGGUAAGUUCCGACCUGCACGAAUGGCGUAAUGAUGGCCAGGCUGUCUCCACCCGAGACUCAGUGAAAUUGAACUCGCUGUGAAGAUGCAGUGUACCCGCGGCAAGACGGAAAGACCCCGUGAACCUUUACUAUAGCUUGACACUGAACAUUGAGCCUUGAUGUGUAGGAUAGGUGGGAGGCUUAGAAGUGUGGACGCCAGUCUGCAUGGAGCCGACCUUGAAAUACCACCCUUUAAUGUUUGAUGUUCUAACGUUGACCCGUAAUCCGGGUUGCGGACAGUGUCUGGUGGGUAGUUUGACUGGGGCGGUCUCCUCCUAAAGAGUAACGGAGGAGCACGAAGGUUGGCUAAUCCUGGUCGGACAUCAGGAGGUUAGUGCAAUGGCAUAAGCCAGCUUGACUGCGAGCGUGACGGCGCGAGCAGGUGCGAAAGCAGGUCAUAGUGAUCCGGUGGUUCUGAAUGGAAGGGCCAUCGCUCAACGGAUAAAAGGUACUCCGGGGAUAACAGGCUGAUACCGCCCAAGAGUUCAUAUCGACGGCGGUGUUUGGCACCUCGAUGUCGGCUCAUCACAUCCUGGGGCUGAAGUAGGUCCCAAGGGUAUGGCUGUUCGCCAUUUAAAGUGGUACGCGAGCUGGGUUUAGAACGUCGUGAGACAGUUCGGUCCCUAUCUGCCGUGGGCGCUGGAGAACUGAGGGGGGCUGCUCCUAGUACGAGAGGACCGGAGUGGACGCAUCACUGGUGUU
rnacentral:rRNA from 1 species